rnacentral:rRNA from 1 species
GAUGAACGCUAGCGGCAGGCCUAAUACAUGCAAGUCGAACGGUGUCUUCGGACAUAGUGGCGCACGGGUGCGUAACACGUAUGCAACCUACCUUACAUUGGGGGAUAGCCUUUCGAAAGGGAGAUUAAUACCGCAUAAGACAGUAGCUGGGCAUCCAGCAGCUGUUAAAGAUUUAUCGAUGUAAGCUGGGCAUGCGUCCAAUUAGCUAGUUGGUGAGGUAACGGCUCACCAAGGCAAUGAUUGGUAGGGGAACUGAGAGUGCAAACCCCCACACUGCGUCUGAGAGACGGGCCAGACUCCUAGGGGAGGCAGCAGUAGGGAGUAUGGGGCAAUGGACGCAAGUCUGACCCAGCCAUGCCGCGUGCAGGAUGAAGGCGUUAUGCGUUGUAAACUGCUUUUAUACAGGAAGAAACGACUCUUGCGAGAGGCAUUGACGGUACUGUAUGAAUAAGCACCGGCUAACUCCGUGCCAGCCGCCGCCGUAAAAC